GGUUAAGUGACUAAGCGUACACGGUGGAUGCCUGGGCAGUCAGAGGCGAUGAAGGACGUACUAACUUGCGAUAAGCGCAGAUAAGGCAGUAAGAGCCGUUUGAGUCUGCGAUUUCCGAAUGGGGAAACCCAACUGCAUAAGCAGUUACUGUUAACUGAAUACAUAGGUUAACAGAGCAAACCGGGGGAACUGAAACAUCUAAGUACCCCGAGGAGAAGAAAUCAACCGAGAUUCCGGUAGUAGCGGCGAGCGAACCUGGAUUAGCCCUUAAGCACUCGGUGAAGUAGGUGAACAAGCUGGAAAGCUUGGCGAUACAGGGUGAUAGCCCCGUAACCGACGCUUCAUCGAGCGUGAAAUCGAGUAGGGCGGGACACGUGAUAUCCUGUCUGAAUAUGGGGGGACCAUCCUCCAAGGCUAAAUACUCCUGACUGACCGAUAGUGAACCAGUACCGUGAGGGAAAGGCGAAAAGAACCCCUGUGAGGGGAGUGAAAUAGAACCUGAAACCGUGUACGUACAAGCAGUAGGAGCACCUUCGUGGUGUGACUGCGUACCUUUUGUAUAAUGGGUCAGCGACUUAUAUUCAGUGGCAAGGUUAACCGUAUAGGGGAGCCGUAGCGAAAGCGAGUCUUAACUGGGCGCUCAGUCUCUGGAUAUAGACCCGAAACCGGGUGAUCUAGCCAUGGGCAGGUUGAAGGUUGAGUAACAUCAACUGGAGGACCGAACCGACUAAUGUUGAAAAAUUAGCGGAUGACUUGUGGCUAGGGGUGAAAGGCCAAUCAAACUCGGAGAUAGCUGGUUCUCCCCGAAAGCUAUUUAGGUAGCGCCUCGGACGAAUACUACUGGGGGUAGAGCACUGUUAAGGCUAGGGGGUCAUCCCGACUUACCAACCCUUUGCAAACUCCGAAUACCAGUAAGUACUAUCCGGGAGACACACGGCGGGUGCUAACGUCCGUCGUGGAGAGGGAAACAACCCAGACCGCCAGCUAAGGUCCCAAAGUAUUGCUAAGUGGGAAACGAUGUGGGAAGGCUCAGACAGCUAGGAUGUUGGCUUAGAAGCAGCCAUCAUUUAAAGAAAGCGUAAUAGCUCACUAGUCGAGUCGGCCUGCGCGGAAGAUGUAACGGGGCUAAGCAAUACACCGAAGCUGCGGCAAUGUCUUUUAGACAUUGGGUAGGGGAGCGUUCUGUAAGCCGUUGAAGGUGAAUCGUAAGGUUUGCUGGAGGUAUCAGAAGUGCGAAUGCUGACAUGAGUAACGACAAAGGGGGUGAAAAACCUCCUCGCCGGAAGACCAAGGGUUCCUGUCCAACGUUAAUCGGGGCAGGGUGAGUCGACCCCUAAGGUGAGGCCGAAAGGCGUAAUCGAUGGGAAACGGGUUAAUAUUCCCGUACUUCUGACUAUUGCGAUGGGGGGACGGAGAAGGCUAGGUGGGCCAGGCGACGGUUGUCCUGGUUCAAGUGCGUAGGCUUGAGAGUUAGGUAAAUCCGGCUCUCUCUAAG
rnacentral:rRNA from 1 species